rnacentral:rRNA from 1 species
CCUACGGGAGGCAGCAGUGAGGAAUAUUGGUCAAUGGACGAGAGUCUGAACCAGCCAAGUAGCGUGAAGGAUGACUGCCCUAUGGGUUGUAAACUUCUUUUAUAUGGGAAUAAAAUGUUCCACGUGUGGGAUUUUGUAUGUACCAUAUGAAUAAGGAUCGGCUAACUCCGUGCCAGCAGCCGCGGUAAUACGGAGGAUGCGAGCGUUAUCCGGAUUGAUUGGGUUGAAAGGGUGCGGAGGCGGACAGUCAAGUCAGCGGUAAAAAUGCGGUGCUCAACGCCGUAUAGCCGUUGAAACUGGCAGUCUUGAGUGGGCGAGAAGUAUGCGGAAUGUGUGUUGUAGCGGUGAACUGCAUAGCUAUCACGCAGAACUCCGAUUGCGAAGGCAGCCUACCGGCGCCCGACUGACGCUGAGGCACGAAAGCGUGGGUAUCGAACAGGAUUAGAUACCCCAGUAGUC